GGACCAUGGGCGUGGGCCAUUCAUCUGAGAGGAGGGCGGGACUAAAGCAUUCAGACCAAUGAAAGGUGAGAGGACCGUGGGCGUGGGCCAUUCAUCUGAGAGGAGGGCGGGACUAAAGCAUUCACACCAAUGAGAGGUGAGAGGACCUUGGGCAUGGGCCAUUCAUCUGAGAGGAGGGCGGGACUAAAGCAUUCACACCAAUGAAAGGUGAGAGGACCGUGGGCGUGGGCCGUGAACCGGAAAUGGUUGAGAGGGGGGGCGAUCUUG